rnacentral:lncRNA from 1 species
GAUCCAAGAUAACCUCCCUCCUCCUGUCUGGAUUCGCAGAAUAAAACCUUGUCAAAACAACAAAGGAAAAGUGGCCGGACUUCAGUUUAAGAUGUUUAUACUCUUUUCUUCAUCUUGGAACUAUCUAUUUGAUUUAAAGCUGAUCAAGACCAUGACAUAGAGAGAAAGAACCCAGACCAAUGAAGACAAGAGAGCUGCUCUUUGUGUGACGCAUUUCCUCACCCAGCCGCAGAUUGCAACAGAGGAGAUGAGAUAAAGAUGAGGAACCUCAACAGAAAGGAUGGAUGUAAACAGUGGGUUUGCUGUGCAGUGACAAGAGCCCAGCUUGGGAAGCUUUUUGAGCUCCCAAGAGGAUGUAAAGGGCACAAGGUCACCUUUAUUGAACUGUUUUCCUGUUGGCCAUCCCUUCUGGGCCCCAAGUUCUGCAUUUGCAGCAUCUGGCACAGUGCUGGGCACAUCCUGAGCUUGAGAAAAGGAACCUGGGCAGGAGGAGAUAAGCCAAUAUAUCUGCCUGUUGAGCCUACAGUUAAAAAUAAUUAUAGAGAACAUGGUGAUGCUUCAGAAACUGUCAGGAUCUUUACUCUUUGUCCAGGAAGCCCUGAACUGUCAUUGGAAAUAAGAUGCCAGAACCACAGAUGUCCUUAGGCAGAUGAAGCUGAGU